CGCUUGUCGAAGUUCGUGUCAGUGCAGACUUCGUGUUCGUGCCUUGCCUUCCUUGCCGAUUAUGGAGCAGAGACGCAAAUCAUCUGCCGUGUGGGACCAUUUUGAUGUCCUGGAGAAUAAGGUGAAAUGUCGAAUUUGCCAAGUCAAUUCGCCAACAGAAGCACCUCCACCAUGCUGAGGCAUUAUCGGGCCAAGCAUGGGAAUGAAGUUCGCGAUACACCCGGUAUUACGCCAGGUUCCAGGAAGCAGCUGUACUGGAAGGACCAACACACUUCUUUCCCAAACCUCUCCCACCUCGCAAAGGAGUUCCUUUGUACGCCAGCCUCAUCCGUCCCUUGUGAGCGUGUGUUCUCCACAGCAGGAGAAAUUGCUUGUAAAAGACGCAACGGGCUGAAGUUUAAAACA